rnacentral:misc_RNA from 1 species
UGAUGUUCCAUGGAAAAUGUUCAUCGACUCAUGCAGGAGGAUGAGAAUCAUGAAGGGAUCAGAUGCUAUUGGACUUGCUCCAAGGGCUAUGGAGAAGUGCAAGAACCGGAACUAGCAUCACCCUCGACAGUCAUUGAAACCGCGAGCGCCUGUACUCUGGCAUUGUCGAGGGAAGGUCUACUAUUUUAAUUUGGAAAUUGCCUAGUAUCUACAUAUGGUUUGUUGUUCUACAUUACCAAAACCUCUAUCUAGCUUCCCAGGAUUAAGUUUCGUCAGACACUGUGUCUCUGUUAUUUGUAUGUUUGCAUGGUGGUUUACCUAUUUGUGUAAAUUGUUGGUUGUUUUUUACAUUAUAUUGCGAG